rnacentral:rRNA from 1 species
CAACUUGAGAGUUUGAUCAUGGCUCAGAACGAACGCUGGCGGCAGGCUUAACACAUGCAAGUCGAACGGAUGUAGCAAUACAUUAGUGGCGCACGGGAGAGUAACACGUGGGAACCUACCUUUUGGUUCGGAAUAACGUCGGGAAACUGACGCUAAUACCGAAUAAGCCCUAUGGGGGAAAGAUUUAUUGCCAAAAGAUGGGCCCGCGCUAGAUUAGCUUGUUGGUGAGGUAAUGGCUCACCAAGGCUACGAUCUAUAGCUGGUCUGAGAGGAUGACCAGC